GACGAACGCUGGCGGCGUGCUUAACACAUGCAAGUGGUGCGACGAACCAGGCUUCGGCCUGGGGCCAAGCCGCGAACGGGUGAGUAACACGUGGGUAACCUGCCCCGAUGACUGGGACAACCCGAGGAAACUCGGGCUAAUACCGGAUGUAAUCCGAGCCCUCAAGGAUUCGGAUCAAAGGAAGCUUCGGCCUCCGCAUUGGGAUGGGCCCGCGGCCCAUUAGCUUGUUGGUGAGGUAACGGCUCACCAA
rnacentral:rRNA from 1 species